CGCCCCCGCCGCCCCCGCAGCCGCCGCCGCGCCCGCCUUCGAGCAGGACGAACCCUUAUAGUGACCGCUCACCACCACGCGCUUCUAAGCGCGCGCCGCGGGAUGGCCGCGGCCGGCCUCUACUGGGCUGUGUACUUGUGGAGAUGUUGCCAGUUUGCGUGGACCCUUCGCCGGUGCCUCUGCGGCAGUUGCCUAUCACUACAUGUUCAAACUGAGUCGAUCGUUCAAGCCUUAAGGUCAGAAACAAAUAACUAUUUGAUAUUUGAAGUUAUGAACCAUAGACAAACACCAACUUUCGAUAUCGGUACUUAGUGAAGAGUUGAUAUUUAAUGUAUUUGUAAUAUUACUUCCAUCGUGUGGUGGAUUCCUAGCGACGAUGAUCUUUUCUACGACAUCAGUCAUUAUGUAUUGUCUACUUGUAUCUAUCUGUGCCGAUCGUCGCUAGACGUGUGGCCGCUGCUGAUCGUACUCGGCCGACUGAGACGAGUGCGUUAUGCCUAAUAUUUGUCAAUAUAAAGCCCUCACUUUGUAUUGCCAUAAGAUGGCUUUACAUUUUUAUUACUCCUGAUUUCAGAUCAAUAUUUUGAGUAAGACUUGGUAUUUGAACUGACAUUUUCUGAAAUUACUGAUGGCCAUUAUGUGAGUUCGAGGCCCCCUUUUGGUAAUUGUGUAAGGUUCAAGUCUCAAGUUGUUUACUUAAAAUCAACUGUAGUUCAUGUAAACUGUUGUAAUGUGUAUGUUUAAGAGUUGCAUGGGAUAGGCCAUCCCUAGCCCUGAUUGUGGUUCGUUGCGGUCACCGACCCCGCCGCCUCCAGUGAAUGGGCGGGGUGUUCUAUUUGUCUUUGAUUCCCGACGUUUGUCGCGUCGUUGGAGGUAGUCGUAGUCUACCGUGUUCCAUUUCGAGUUGAAAUCGUAACUUGACCAAAAAUUUAACAAUAAAUUAAUCGUACUAGGAAACCCUGAAGGUGAAAGUUCGGUCUCGUGUCAUCCGCGCACCGCGCUUAGUGAUAUCGUUGUCAUUCCUCGUGUAUUUCAUAGUGACGACGCGUGACGUCACGGAUGACUCGUGACAUCACGACGCUGCCGGCACCACAGAUUCAUUUAACUUGACGACGCAACUAGAAUGAAAAAUAGAUUUUAGUGGGAUUUGCACCUAGUAGUGAAUAGUCAAUAAAUGAUGAUCGUGCUUUUGACCACAAUGAGACGGUGCGUUGGUUGUAGCGUUAUAUGUAGAGUGAACGUAACGCAACAGCGUUGUUAAUAUAAAACAAGAAUAAUGGAGGUAUCCGUUUACGUCGAACACUGCAAAUUCCGAUAUAUUACGACUCUUUCGCGUACACAGGUCGUAUUUAUCGAUUUCGUUUUGCGGAGUACGUUUGGAGCUGCCAAUCAAACUAAAAUCUGUUGCAAGUCUUGGCCUUGAAUGAACUUGCGUCGUGUAUGUUAAUACGUAUGUGUGUGGGCCUUAUGGGGCAGUAGUCCCGGCCCGUGGCCCCGCACUGCCAGCGAGCCCGCGCUCGCUCUAGUCCACUGUUGUACGCAAGUCUGAUUUUGACGCUAGUCCGUUUCGUAGCUUUAGUCGGUUUACUGUAAUUUGAUUACGUUCCUCGGGUAGUUCGCAACGAUGAUCAUCAUACCGUGGAUAGAGUUUACCGAACCGAUUUGCUGAUGAUAGUGAGUUAUCAAUCCAAAGCCACCCUAUUCCCGCUCCGUCUAUGGUGCCCUUAAAAUUACCCUGGCUAUUUGAUCAUGUCUUUAUGUGAAUCUUUUAAUUUGGUAUAACUGUAUUUAUAAAACGUAUAAUGUCUUCGAAAAAGAGUAUGUACCUAUGUCUUAAAAGAAGUUAUUAUGUGCAUCAUGCGGGAAAGGGGGAAGUUUUUGUAUGAUUAGCUGCUGCUGGCGGCAAGCACAAAGGAGGUUCGCCUCUACGCGGUAUUGAUGAGAUGGUUGCGGUAGUUUGCACAAGUUAGGUCCAGUCUCGCCGACGAGGCCCGCCCGGUCCCCAGUCCGACACAGACCGCUGUAUACACAAAUGUAAAAGGGUAAUUUCGACUUGUAAGCGAAAUAUAUUAUUCCGUUAAGAGUGAUUAUUGUUGUAUAGAUGGGUGAACCAUACUACGUAUUAUGUAUGUCAGAUCUUUAUUUCCUCGUAAGCUUGUACUGGAUUGAAUCGUUUGCAUGAUAUUUAUUAUUAUGAAGUUCGUAAGCGACAUUUGUAAUAGUUAGUCGUAAGGAGAAUUCGAAUAUAUUAAGAAUUGUUAUAGGAAAUAAUUUUAUACUGUCUGAUCUCGUACACGCUCCAUGAGCUUAGGAAGUUUAUACUGUUCUUUGGUUGACGUAGAAGACGUAAAGGAGCAGGCUAGCGGCGCCCCUGCCAAGCUGUGUCUAGACAGACAGACGCUAAGGAUUCUAUGUAUGUAACCUAUUGGGAAUAUUUUGCAAAUCUAAGAAAUUAUUCCAAUGUUUUAAUUUUUUGAAAAAUUACUCAACGAAUAUUGGUUGAAUUCAAGUUGUAAAAGUGACUACUUACUACUACUUUGCCUGGCCCAUUCCCAUUUUAUUUGGGGUCAGCCCUCCGCGUCAUGCGUCUCCAGGCGGCUCGGUCCUGGGCUGUCUUACUGUUAACUUGGGCUUCUUUAAGGUCUAAGGUAAAAGUGACUACAUAGUCAAAUCAAAAUUAUCAAUACCGUAUUUGAAUGGUAAUAUUUAAACUUAAUAAUUUGAAAUGUCUUAAUUAUACAUGAUUUUAAUGCAUCUAGCACAAAAUUAGAUUUUAACUAAUGUCACAGUGAACCGUUAUGAAGUUUGUGUUUUAGUUCCAAGUUUUACUCGCAAGCAAUAAGUAUCGAUGGCAGGUGGGGGCGCUCCAGCCUUGGCGCGUUCUGGUUUCCCUUUAGCCACCUCACUCCUCGAUUAUUUCCCGUCCUCAUCCGGCACCUUGUUACGCGCGUUAGCGAGUUCAGUUGGGCCACCUCGUCAUACAUAUAACUAGUCAACAUUUGUUACUAGGGCUUUUUCGUUUGAAAUACGAUCAGUAAAAUUCUAUUAAAAAACGCAGUUUGACUUUGAGAAAUUACCUACGAUAUCCAUCUCAAUUGAUGUUAAAAUGUCCAUGAGGUAUCUUACCUUUUUAAGACACCCCUGGUGAAUAAGUGAUAGACAAACUCUGGUGGAUAAUUACAAAAAUUUCGUACGAUAUACUCAAUAAACAAUUGAUUCGUAUUUGCAAAAUGAAUCAAUAUCUUGUUUGGAUUAAUUUAAAUUAAGUAAAACCAGGGAGACGUCUUGAUGCGAGUGGCCGCUGCUCGCGCGCCGUAGGCCGCCCGUUCCGUUCCCGACGCAUACAUAUCACGACCAGUUACAUUCCACUUCUGUUUGUAAAUACACCUUUCGAUUCGGAAUUGAAUAGAUUCGUUUGUAAUAUUUUUACAGACCUUUUGAGAUUACUGUUCCGCAUGUGUUUGUCUUUACUGUAUCGAUUUAUUCCGUAAGUGACAGGUGUACGAUCUCGAUCAAUGUGCGAGUCAUUUUUACUUUUAAAUUUUAAUGAUAAUAUAUGGUUUUAUACAAUUCUUUGGUUUUUCUGUCACUCCCCACUCCGAUCCCUUAUCUAAGAUUAUCACGAUCGCAGAUAUCCGUAAAAUUUCUUUAAUGGGUUAUUUUAUACUGUGAUUUCAUAGAUUAGAUCUAAAUUAUGUUAUCUACCGAUUCACUCGUUUUAAAAAAGAAUCUCUUUGAAGAGACAUGAAAUGCAUCUCGUGUGCCGUGUUUUCGGAUUUUUUAAAUAUCAAACAAUUCAAUUCCAAAGUUUAUUAAAGGUACGAGUUUAUAAAGGAAAAGUAUUAAAAUAACUAGUGGCAUGAGUCGUGUGUCGGCAAGCGUGAGAGGGGAACUGGAUAUGGACGCGUACGAGGUGCGCGUGCUGCGCGAGUACUACAGCGACCACGCCUUCUUCCUGUCCACGGAGUGGUUCCUCAAGGUGCUGGCUGUUAUGGGCAGCAUCGCGCUGUCGGGCCUGUUCCUGGGCGGCGGCAGCUGCGCGGGCGCGGCGCUGGCGGCGGGCGGCGCGGGCGCGGCGCUGGC